rnacentral:rRNA from 1 species
UGGGGAAUAUUGCACAAUGGGCGCAAGCCUGAUGCAGCGACGCCGCGUGAGGGAUGAAGGCCUUCGGGUUGUAAACCUCUUUCAGCAGGGAAGAAGCGAAAGUGACGGUACCUGCAGAAGAAGCACCGGCUAACUACGUGCCAGCAGCCGCGGUAAUACGUAGGGUGCGAGCGUUGUCCGGAAUUAUUGGGCGUAAAGAGCUUGUAGGCGGUUUGUCGCGUCUGCUGUGAAAACUCGAGGCUUAACCUCGAGCUUGCAGUGGGUACGGGCAGACUAGAGUGUGGUAGGGGAGACUGGAAUUCCUGGUGUAGCGGUGAAAUGCGCAGAUAUCAGGAGGAACACCGAUGGCGAAGGCAGGUCUCUGGGCCACUACUGACGCUGAGAAGCGAAAGCAUGGGGAGCGAACA